rnacentral:snRNA from 1 species
GGGCUCAAUUCUGCAGCACAUAUACUAAAAUUGGAAUGAUACAGAGAUUAGCAUGGCCCCUGCGCAAGGAUGAAACACAAAUUUGUGAAGCUUCCAUAUUUUUU